rnacentral:rRNA from 1 species
GAAUAUUGGACAAUGGGGGCAACCCUGAUCCAGCCAUGCCGCGUGUGUGAAGAAGGCCUUUUGGUUGUAAAGCACUUUAAGCAGUGAAGAAGACUCCAUGGUUAAUACCCAUGGACGAUGACAUUAGCUGCAGAAUAAGCACCGGCUAACCCUGUGCCAGCAGCCGCGGUAAUACAGAGGGUGCAAGCGUUAAUCGGAAUUACUGGGCGUAAAGCGAGCGUAGGUGGCUUGAUAAGUCAGAUGUGAAAGCCCCGGGCUUAACCUGGGAACGGCAUCUGAUACUGUUAGGCUAGAGUAGGUGAGAGGAAGGUAGAAUUCCAGGUGUAGCGGUGAAAUGCGUAGAGAUCUGGAGGAAUACCGAUGGCGAAGGCAGCCUUCUGGCAUCAUACUGACACUGAGGUUCGAAAGCGUGGGUAGCAAACAGGA